AAAGAUUAAGCCAUGCAUGUCUAAGUAUAAGCAAUUAUACCGCGAAACUGCGAAUGGCUCAUUAUAUAAGUUAUCGUUUAUUUGAUAGUACCUUACUACUUGGAUAACCGUGGUAAUUCUAGAGCUAAUACAUGCUAAAAAUCCCGACUUCGGAAGGGAUGUAUUUAUUAGAUUAAAAACCAAUGCCCUCCGGGGCUCACUGGUGAUUCAUGAUAACUUCUCGAAUCGCAUGGCCUUGCGCCGGCGAUGGUUCAUUCAAAUUUCUUCCCUAUCAACUUUCGAUGUUUGGGUAUUGGCCAAACAUGGUUG
rnacentral:rRNA from 1 species